AGGGUUCGAUUCUGGCUCAGGAUGAACGCUGGCGGCGUGCUUAACACAUGCAAGUCGAACGGGAUCCAUCAGGCUUUGCUUGGUGGUGAGAGUGGCGAACGGGUGAGUAAUGCGUGACCGACCUGCCCCAUACACCGGAAUAGCUCCUGGAAACGGGUGGUAAUGCCGGAUGCUCCGACUCCUCGCAUGGGGUGUCGGGAAAGAUUUCAUCGGUAUGGGAUGGGGUCGCGUCCUAUCAGGUAGUCGGCGGGGUAACGGCCCACCGAGCCUACGACGGGUAGCCGGCCUGAGAGGGCGACCGGCCACAUUGGGACUGAGAUACGGCCCAGACUCCUACGGGAGGCAGCAGUGGGGAAUAUUGCACAAUGGGCGCAAGCCUGAUGCAGCGACGCCGCGUGCGGGAUGACGGCCUUCGGGUUGUAAACCGCUUUUGAUCGGGAGCAAGCCUUCGGGUGAGUGUACCUUUCGAAUAAGCACCGGCUAACUACGUGCCAGCAGCCGCGGUAAUACGUAGGGUGCAAGCGUUAUCCGGAAUUAUUGGGCGUAAAGGGCUCGUAGGCGGUUCGUCGCGUCCGGUGUGAAAGUCCAUCGCUUAACGGUGGAUCUGCGCCGGGUACGGGCGGGCUGGAGUGCGGUAGGGGAGACUGGAAUUCCCGGUGUAACGGUGGAAUGUGUAGAUAUCGGGAAGAACACCAAUGGCGAAGGCAGGUCUCUGGGCCGUUACUGACGCUGAGGAGCGAAAGCGUGGGGAGCGAACAGGAUUAGAUACCCUGGUAGUCCACGCCGUAAACGGUGGAUGCUGGAUGUGGGGCCCGUUCCACGGGUUCCGUGUCGGAGCUAACGCGUUAAGCAUCCCGCCUGGGGAGUACGGCCGCAAGGCUAAAACUCAAAGAAAUUGACGGGGGCCCGCACAAGCGGCGGAGCAUGCGGAUUAAUUCGAUGCAACGCGAAGAACCUUACCUGGGCUUGACAUGUUCCCGACAGCCGUAGAGAUAUGGCCUCCCUUCGGGGCGGGUUCACAGGUGGUGCAUGGUCGUCGUCAGCUCGUGUCGUGAGAUGUUGGGUUAAGUCCCGCAACGAGCGCAACCCUCGCCCUGUGUUGCCAGCACGUCAUGGUGGGAACUCACGGGGGACCGCCGGGGUCAACUCGGAGGAAGGUGGGGAUGACGUCAGAUCAUCAUGCCCCUUACGUCCAGGGCUUCACGCAUGCUACAAUGGCCGGUACAACGGGAUGCGACACGGCGACGUGGAGCGGAUCCCUGAAAACCGGUCUCAGUUCGGAUUGGAGUCUGCAACCCGACUCCAUGAAGGCGGAGUCGCUAGUAAUCGCGGAUCAGCAACGCCGCGGUGAAUGCGUUCCCGGGCCUUGUACACACCGCCCGUCAAGUCAUGAAAGUGGGUAGCACCCGAAGCCGGUGGCCUAACCCUUCUUGGGAUGGAGCCGUCUAAGGUGAGACUCGUGAUUGGGACUAAGUCGUAACAAGGUAGCCGUACCGGAAGGUGCGGCUG
rnacentral:rRNA from 2 species